GGGGAUAUAGCUCAAUCGGUAGAGCGUCGGUCUCCAAAACCGAAUGUCAAGGUUCGAGUCCUUGUGUCCGCC
rnacentral:tRNA from 1 species